ACGGCAGGCCGUAAUAACAUAGCAAGUCGGACGGUAGGCAGUAGCAAUGCUGCAGAGUGGCAACGGGUAGGCGUAACGCGUAAACAACCUGCCCCACCUGGCGCAUAGCCCGGCGAAAGCUGGGGUAAUUCGCCAUGGUCCUGGCCCCUCGACCUGGGGGGGCGAAGGUAAAGGCCUUCGGGCCGGUUGGGGAGGGGGUUUGGCGUCUGAUUAGGUAGUUGGGGGGGUAGGCGGCCCACCAAGCCGAUGAUCAGUCGGGGCUCUGAGAGGAGGGUCCCCCACAUGGGCACUGCGACACGGGCCCAACUCCUACGGGAGGCAGCAGUAGGGAAUAUUGAGCAAUGGCCGAGAGGCUGACCCAGCCAUGCCGCGUGCCGGACGAAGGCCCUCUGGGUUGUAAACGGCUUUUAUCCAGGAAGAAGAGUAGCGCUGCGGCGCUAUGUGACGGUACUGGAGGAAUCAGCACCGGCUAACUCCGUG
rnacentral:rRNA from 1 species